rnacentral:rRNA from 1 species
GACGAAGGGGGCUAGCGUUGCUCGGAAUUACUGGGCGUAAAAGGCGCGCAGGCGGAUGUUUAAGUCAGUGGUGAAAGCCCAGGGCUCAACCUUGGAACUGCCAUUGAUACUGGACAUCUUGAGUGCGGGAGAGGUGAGUGGAACUGCGAGUGUAGAGGUGAAAUUCGUAGAUAUUCGCAAGAACACCAGUGGCGAAGGCGGCUCACUGGCCCGAUACUGACGCUGAGGUGCGAAAGCGUGGGGAGCAAACAGG